rnacentral:rRNA from 1 species
CCUACGGGUGGCUGCAGUGGGGAAUAUUGGACAAUGGGGGCAACCCUGAUCCAGCCAUGCCGCGUGUGUGAAGAAGGCCCUCGGGUUGUAAAGCACUUUCAGUGAGGAAGAACGCCUGGUGGUUAAUACCCAUCAGGAAAGACAUCACUCACAGAAGAAGCACCGGCUAACUCCGUGCCAGCAGCCGCGGUAAUACGGAGAGUGCGAGCGUUAAUCGGAAUUACUGGGCGUAAAGCGCGCGUAGGUGGCUUGAUAAGCCGGUUGUGAAAGCCCCGGGCUCAACCUGGGAACGGCAUCCGGAACUGUCAAGCUAGAGUGCAGGAGAGGAAGGUAGAAUUCCCGGUGUAGCGGUGAAAUGCGUAGAGAUCGGGAGGAAUACCAGUGGCGAAGGCGGCCUUCUGGACUGACACUGACACUGAGGUGCGAAAGCGUGGGUAGCAAACAGGAUUAGAUACCCCGGUAGUC